CAGUAGAAGGAACACAUACUAAAUUCUACUCAAAUUAUAAGUCACUGAAAUUCUGAACUGAGUACUUUGUGAGCCAAAUGACCUGAACCAACCUAUUUGGUUCAGUUCCUGCAAGAAGAAAUUGUAAAGUUCUACGUUUAAGGAAAAUAGGGCUAUUCAGCUCAAAAGGAUGAUUCGCUUUGAGAAAAAGAUUAAGUGGUAAAGCUUUAAAUUCACCACUACUUGACUAGAACCGCUAACGUGACCUUAGAUGAAAGGCCUCUUACAGUUCGCAGUAGAGCAAAGUACGCCGUUUUGGUAACAGUAAUAUGGUAUACAAAUCAAACAGUUUAUACAAAGUAAAAAUUAAUUGACCUCUGAAAAGCUUCUCCCAUUGAACACCUAUGCCAGAGUUACUAUUCACAUCGGACGGCAUUGUUACAAAAAGCCUGAGCGUUUCUACAAAAGCUGUAAAGAAUGAAUGGAGUGGGUGGAGGAGUCGAUUCAAUGGGAGAAAGGAGGGAUGUGUAGUUAUGUAAGUAUGUUUUGUGGUGCUUA